rnacentral:tRNA from 1 species
GGGGGUUUGUGAAACACUGGGAAACGCCGUUUUGUCAGACUUUUAAGCCGUGGGUCGCGGGUUCGAAUCCCGCCGUCCCCACCA